GGGCGGGGGACACCGAAAUCUGGAUGGAGGCGGGGGACCCACCGGUCCGCCGGACUGGGGUCGCGUGCGACUCCUUGGGGUGAAGCCGACGUCGGCUCUCGCGAGACGACUCGAGACGACAACGGCCGGGUGACCUCUUGAACCCGAACCCGACAGCUGACCUCGCAGGCGCGUUACGAGAGGAAAA
rnacentral:sRNA from 1 species